GGAGGGUUGGCAGAGUGGUUUAAUGCGGCGGUCUUGAAAACCGUUGUGGGGCAACCCACCGGGGGUUCGAAUCCCUCACCCUCCG
rnacentral:tRNA from 1 species